CGCUCUCGCGCUCUUUCCGGGCGGCGGGGCGGCGGGGAUGGCUGCGUCCGUGGCUGUUCCGCGCGGCCCGGGGUCCGCGGCCCCGGCGCCCCCGCCCCCGAGGGGCCCGCCGGUGUGGAGCCUCCGGGUGGCGCGCGCCGCGGAGAGGCGGCGGGGACGGUCGCGGCCGGCCCCGAUCGCGGCCCGCAUGCGUCUGACGGCAGGAGGUAGGAGCCGGCGCAGGGCCGAGUGGGGAAGUUGAGAGCUCGGUGCUUGGCAGCCAGACAGGAUGGGGCCAUGUGCUCAAGGCAUAACCACCUGGUUCCAGUCUGAUGGGGCUCCUGUGGACCAGCCCGGCGACGCCUCUGGUUGAGAGCAGAGCGCGUGGAACAGGCUCCCUGGCUCACAUCACAGCAGACGGACAGACAGACAGAUGCACCUCAUGCUGCUGGUGGCAGCAUCUCCUGUGGGCGGGC